rnacentral:rRNA from 1 species
AAUGAACGCUGGCGGCGUGCCUAACACAUGCAAGUCGAGCGAGAAAGCGGCUUCGGUCGUGGGUAAAGCGGCGAACGGGUGAGUAACACGUGGAUAAUCUGCCUGGAAGUGGGGAACAACUCGAGGAAACUUGAGCUAAUACCGCAUGCGCCCGUACCUCAUAGGGGGUACGUGCAAAGGUGGCCUCUUCUUGAAAGCUACCGCUUCCAGAUGGGUCCGCGUCUGAUUAGCUAGUUGGUGGGGUAAUGGCCUACCAAGGCGACGAUCAGUAGCCGGCCUGAGAGGGCGAUCGGCCACACUGGAACUGAGACACGGUCCAG